CAAUGCAGGGCUCAACCUCACGAGAACCUGAGAUCAUGACCUGAGCGGAAAUCAAGACUCAGAUGCUUAACCUCAGACGCUUAACCGACUGUGUCACCCAGGAACCCAGAUUUAUUUUCCUCUUAAGACAAACUUGAAUAUCUAUUGGAGAAAUAUAUACAGCAGAGGAAUCCUUUACAUUAAAGACAAAUUCCCAGAGAAGCACAAAGAAUGAUGAUGGGUCCUCUGAAGAAUGCAAUGGAGCAAAAGGAAGGAACUGUUUGUCCCCAACUGACUGUUUUCUGCAUGAUGUUGGAAGAGGAAGUGAGAGACUCAAGGCACAAGAAAAAUUAACUUCACUAUUGCUGGGUCAAAGAUGGAUGAGUCCACGUGGCAAGAAAUUAGAGUAGGAUCGAAGAGCACCUCUAGGAUCUGAGAGCACCCCUAGCUGACAGCCAUCAAGGAAAUUGGGACUGUAGUCCAACACUCACGAGGAACAAGAAUAAUCUUGGAAGCAGAUUUGCCCCAGAAUCUCCAAAGACCUCAAUCCAACCUACAUGGACACCUUGAUUCCAGCCUUGUGAACUCCUGAGGAGAGAACAUGAUCAUGCUGUGCUAGACUUCUGACCUACAGGCUUAUGAGCUAAUACAUGGGUAUAGCUUUCAGCCAUGAAGUUUGGGUGUAGAUGGUAACUAGAGAAAAUGCAUUACCAUGAUAACAGUUUUUAUAGUGCAUGGUGGGGUUGAAGGUUAUGAAUAUAUUCACACUAGCAUUUCGAUGUACUUUCUACAUUUCUAAAUGGAUUAUGGGUUACUUGCUAAUUAGAAAUAAAGCCCUUAGAAUUUAUUCAUGUAAAAUAUGUUAUAUUUCAGACUUUUAAAAAGUUAUAGUAAAUACUACAAUAGGCAAACAUGUAUAUAACCAAAGUUAUGAAGUAAAACAUUACAGAAAGUAGAUGCCUCCGUGUUACUCUGAAUGCGUUACCCCUAGAGAGACCCACUAUCUAGGGAUGUGAAUAUAUCCCUAAACAAAACACAUGGCUGCUUUAUGUAUUUUUAGUUCUAAUUAUGUAAGUAAUAUAUUUAUAUAUUUAUUAUUGAAAAUUUUCUCUCUGAAAAUAGGUUUUCUAAGAUUUCUCUAAUGAAGUGACCUUGGGACUGGUCAUAUUUUUAGGCAUGCUGCUAUAAGCAUACUUGCACUUGUGCCCAGGACUCUGCAGUACAGACUUAAGAAUGUAGCAACUGACAGGACCUCAUGACUUUUUCUUUUUUUAAAAAAAUGUUUAUUUAUUUUAAGAGAGAGAGAGAGAGAGAGAAAGAGUGCAAAAGUGAGGGAGGGGUAAAGAGAGAAGGAGAGAGAGGAUCCCAAGCAAGCUCUGCACUGCAACAGAGCUGAACAUGGGGCUUGAUAUCAUGAGCCAUGAGAUCAUGAUCUGAGCUGAAAUCAUGAGUCAGACGCUUAACUGACUGAGCCACCCAGGUGCCUCACCUUAUCUCCUUUUGUCAUAGAUAUUGCCAAAUGUCUCUGUAAAGAGGUUGUAACAAUGUGUCCUCCCCCAGCAGUGUAUGGAAGCAGUGUGUAGAAUAAAUACAAAGCCAAUGACCAA